rnacentral:rRNA from 1 species
UGGAAGUAAAAAUCGUAACAAGGUUUCCGUAGGUGAACCUGCGGAAGGAUCAUUACAGUAUUCUUUUGCCAGCGCUUAACUGCGCGGCGAAAAACCUUACACACAGUGUCUUUUUGAUACAGAACUCUUGCUUUGGUUUGGCCUAGAGAUAGGUUGGGCCAGAGGUUUAACAAAACACAAUUUAAUUAUUUUUACAGUUAGUCAACUUUUGAAUUAAUCUUCAAAACUUUCAACAACGGAUCUCUUGGUUCUCGCAUCGAUGAAGAACGCAGCGAAAUGCGAUAAGUAAUAUGAAUUGCAGAUUUUCGUGAAUCAUCGAAUCUUUGAACGCACAUUGCGCCCUCUGGUAUUCCAGAGGGCAUGCCUGUUUGAGCGUCAUUUCUCUCUCAAACCCCCGGGUUUGGUAUUGAGUGAUACUCUUAGUCGGACUAGGCGUUUGCUUGAAAAGUAUUGGCAUGGGUAGUACUGGAUAGUGCUGUCGACCUCUCAAUGUAUUAGGUUUAUCCAACUCGUUGAAUGGUGUGGCGGGAUAUUUCUGGUAUUGUUGGCCCGGCCUUACAACAACCAAACAAGUUUGACCUCAAAUCAGGUAGGAAUACCCGCUGAACUUAAGCAUAUCAAUAAAGCGGAGGAA